rnacentral:lncRNA from 1 species
CACCUGGUCUGCAGACCCCAUAAUACCAGGAAGAGCUGGGUGUUCUGGCACCAGUGAAACAAUACCUGGUUUUUUAUUUUAAACCAGCCCAUCUUCCCCGCUGCAGUUGGAACCGUUCUACGUGGAUUUGGGAUCAACCAGCAGGCCUUUCCUGAGCUGUUACUGUGUGGAGUGGGCGCUGAGGCUCCAGCCAUUGAUGCAAAGACCCCAAUCCUGACCUGAAGGCGCUCACAAUCUCUCCCCAACGGCCUGGUGUGAAACGCAGACGCAACGCAGCAGGCAUUCUCCCCAGUGGCUGCCUGUAGAGCAAAUGGUGCAGAAAUGGUCACUCCUCAAAAAGCAAGCCGGCUGGAGCCAGCCCAGCUCCCAGUUUUGCAAGAAAAAAAAAAUCACAGCUCCAUUUUCAAAGAUUUCAAGGGCAGCUCAAGACCAGCCUGGACUAGCAGGCCUCAAAUGCAUUACUGGAGACCCCUUUACGCUCUUAACAAGUACCGACCCCAAAGAGGCUUUUUGUAUAACAAUGUCUAUUGAUAUUUACUCUACUGGAAAUUAAAAGUGAGAAAUUUAUAACAUGUAUAAUUCAUUAAAAAUAACAUAUAAAUCCAUUGCAUGUUAUCAUAAAUAAUUUUAUGAAGAUAAGCAUCUUCCAAAAUGAAAAAAUAAUUUACUGAGAGAGUAGCAUUGUUGUACAUUUUCACAAAUCCUGUCAGUGUCUGGCUUAAUAGAAGACAGCUAGGGACCUUGCGUCUGCUUCCGAUGUAGUCUAUGGAAAUGUGUUGUUUCAGUUGAACUGUAUCAAGAAAAUCUGGCCUCACGCAUUUUAUAGUUGAAACAGGGAAAAGGAUUUUAGUACCUUUUUCAGCUAACUAACUAUGAACAUUCUUUGCUACUACACCAAAACUCAACAAGUGGUAGCUUCUUAAAGGCUGGUUAUAACAUGGAAUCUGAAGCCUCAUGAAUAGACUUUUGGGCUCUGUGGCAGUUAAAUCCGCUGUUCUCUCUCACUUUGAACAUGUGGUUUUUCAUGGAAAAAUGAAUGUUCACUUGAAAAAUGUUGGUUCACAGAGUUCUGCAGAAAUUCAAAUUUUUGACACAUUACAUUAUAUAGUAUCAAAAAAUCACUUAAUAUCACCAUCCAUCUCAUCAGAAAACUCAUUAUGAGGAAGUUGUCAUGGUGAUAGGAGAAAGUUUUUCAAAAUUCUGAUUUUUGCUUAAAAGCUCAAAUGUAUACCAUUGGCAAUAAAUAAUGUCAGCUGUUUCUGGAAGUAAGAGGCUCAGUUUGUUCCUUUUCUGGGAAAUAUCUGCCAGAUACCUAAAUCCAAUUAAAUGCCAUUUGUCUGUCAGUUUUUCUUUCAAGUAAAGAUGGUGUCGUGGCCAGAGUGGCUCAUGGAGCUCAGAACUCCCCCAGCAAUCACAGCUGAGCUUCUGCUCUGACCGACCACUGCCCGUCAGCAACAGCAGGAGUACAUUAUGAGUCACACGGAAUAUGGAAAAUAGGGCACGGAAACGAAUACAGUGGCUCCCGGACCUCUUUGGGACUGUGGCCUGAUACUCCAGCACAGGGGGUGUAAGUGUCAGCCCCGUGAAAAAGGCAGAGACCGUCUUAAAUCACUGCGAAAAUGGUUUCUUCUAUAAAAACAGAAACAACAUAUGGGGGCUGGUGAAACUUUGCACAAUCAAUCAGUUGAGCUGUAUUUGCAAGCCCAGUCCUGGCUCCACCUGCAAUUGGGAAGGAGCUGGCAGCUGUGACGGGGGAGACAUGGUGUACAGUGAGCAGCCGUUUCCAGGCAUUGCUGUGUGACCCAUUUUGCACAUGGUUUGAUUCCAGAUCGGAGGCCCUGUUUUUCCAUUUAAACAAUCCUGUGCUUUCUCAAACAGAUUAGCUCAGAAGAGAUGGCUUAUUUUCAGUAGUACAAGAUGGGUCAUUUUCACUCAAUUAUAAAAGCAGCUCAAUUUACAUCUAAAAAUACUUUGCACUAAAAUUCAAAGCUUGUGUAAUAAGAUAAGGGUUCAAAAAUGAUUCAGUAAAUUUCAUACCCAAACCUUUACCUCUGAGGACCUGCUGUUAAUUUAAAAUAUGAACUUGUGAAUUUGAUUUGGGAACCUGUAAAAUGUAAAAAUGUGUAACACUGUCAACCAGCGUAUAGGAAACAGUGUGGACACUGCAGGAGAAGGGUGGCCCCUCUUUAGACCCAGGUUAACCAGGAGGUGUGAACUAUUAAC